rnacentral:rRNA from 1 species
GAUGAACGCUGGCGGCGUGCCUAAUACAUGCAAGUCGAGCGAACGGACGAGAAGCUUGCUUCUCUGAUGUUAGCGGCGGACGGGUGAGUAACACGUGGAUAACCUACCUAUAAGACUGGGAUAACUUCGGGAAACCGGAGCUAAUACCGGAUAAUAUUUUGAACCGCAUGGUUCAAAAGUGAAAGACGGUCUUGCUGUCACUUAUAGAUGGAUCCGCGCUGCAUUAGCUAGUUGGUAAGGUAACGGCUUACCAAGGCAACGAUGCAUAGCCGACCUGAGAGAGGGAUAGGCAACACUGGAACUGAGACACGGUCCAUACGCCGACGGGAGGCAGCAGUAGGGAAUCUUCAGCAAUGGGCGAAAACCUGACGGAGCAACGCCGCGUGAGUGAUGAAAGUCUUCGGAUCGUAAAACUCUGUUAUUAGGGAAGAACAUAUGUGUAAGUAACUGUGCACAUCGUGACGGUACCUAGUCAGAAAGCCACGGCUAACUACGUG